rnacentral:lncRNA from 1 species
GUAUGUAGAAACAUAUUUUUUAAUUGUACAAAUAACAGUUCAAUUUUUUACUUAUUCUGUCUGUUAUAUAUUUAUUUAUAUUAGAAAUGUUGACACUAUUGCUAUGUUUGUCAACAAUACUUUGCAAUAAUGGUAUGUCUGUGCGAGUAGUACACAUCGUGUGCAUUUAUUGUGUGACAUACAAUUAUAAUCCAUAUGUAGAUAUUGAACAACCAUGAGUAUUUUUAUUCCUUGUCAAUAAGUUGGCUCAAUUUUAUGAAUGUUGUUUUUAUAUUAUUUGAAAAGCUGUGAUUUCAUGUUAAACAAUACAUCCCAUAUUUUCAAUGCUGUGCAGUGUUUUGUUAUGUUUUAGAUACAAAUUCAUUGUUUGAGUGUAAGUAUGUAUGUUUUAUGAAAGAAUUUAUUUAUUUGUUAUAAAUGCCUUUGUUUGAUACCUCUCUUGAAAAUGAUUACGAACCUUUUUAAAAGUUAUACUAUGAAACGGUUUUCUAAACAAUGCUAUUAGUUCACGUAUGACCCAUAACGAUAUCAUGAAUAAACGUGUUGCUCGGUUAUCCUUUCUAGAAGAAAUUAUAAAAAAAAAAAAAUGCAUUGAUUAAAAUAUCAGGCAUUCCUUUUACCUUUCAUACCUUUCGUUCAGUCAAUUUUCACAAUUUUAUUAUGCAUUCUAGUGAAUGUCUUUAAAAAUCGAGAAUUACCAUUUCAUAUUCUCUUAUCAUUAAUUGAAAAAGGAUGACUUAUUCCAAAUCAACAAUUAUUAUUUUUUAGGCAGAGGUUCAAACGAACUUUACCUUCCAAUAUUUGAAAGGUGACAAAAUCAAAGCAUAUACUUCGGGGAGGUUUAUCAAAAACAAAGUCAUUUAUAGCGUUUUGAGAGUACACUGGUUGCCUGAUUUUUCCUUUCUUUUCCAAUAUUCCAAAUACCAAUAUUGGAAUAUUAGUAGAUAGUUUAACUAUUCCCGUUGUUACUGUUUUUGAUUACGAAUAAAAUCCCA